rnacentral:rRNA from 1 species
UAAUCGCGGAUCAGCAUGCCGCGGUGAAUACGUUCCCGGGCCUUGUACACACCGCCCGUCACACCAUGGGAGCCGGUAAUACCCGAAGUCAGUAGUCCAACCUCGUGAGGACGCUGCCGAAGGUAGGAUUGGCGACUGGGGUGAAGUCGUAACAAGGUACC